AGCAUAUCAAUAAGCGGAGGAAAAGAAACCAACAGGGAUUGCCUCAGUAACGGCGAGUGAAGCGGCAACAGCUCAAAUUUGAAAUCUGGCUGCCUCUGGGCGGUCCGAGUUGUAAUUUGAAGAGGAUGCUUUUGGCGAGGUGCCUUCCGAGUGCCCUGGAACGGGACGCCACAGAGGGUGAGAGCCCCGUAUGGUUGGACGCCGAGCCUCUGUAAAGCUCCUUCGACGAGUCGAGUAGUUUGGGAAUGCUGCUCAAAAUGGGAGGUAAACCCCUUCUAAAGCUAAAUACUGGCCAGAGACCGAUAGCGCACAAGUAGAGUGAUCGAAAGAUGAAAAGCACUUUGAAAAGAGAGUUAAAUAGCACGUGAAAUUGUUGAAAGGGAAGCGCUUGCGACCAGACUUGUGCUCGUCGAAUCAGCCGCCCCUCGCGGGCGGCGCACUUCGGCGGGCUCAGGCCAGCAUCAGUUCGCUGCAGGGGGAGAAAGGCGGUGGGAAUGUGGCUCUUCGGAGUGUUAUAGCCCGCCGCGCAAUACCCCUCGGCGGACUGAGGACCGCGCAUCUGCAAGGAUGCUGGCGUAAUGGUCGUCAGCGACCCGUCUUGAAACACGGACCAAGGAGUCGUCCUAAUAUGCGAGUGUUCGGGUGUAAAACCCCUGCGCGUAAUGAAAGUGAACGGAGGUGAGAGCUUCGGCGCAUCAUCGACCGAUCCUGAUGUUCUCGGAUGGAUUUGAGUAAGAGCAUAUUGGGCCGGACCCGAAAGAAGGUGAACUAUGCCUGUAUAGGGUAAAGCCAGAGGAAACUCUGGUGGAGGCUCGCAGCGGUUCUGACGUGCAAAUCGAUCGUCAAAUAUGGGCAUGGGGGCGAAAGACUAAUCGAACCUUCUAGUAGCUGGUUUCCGCC
rnacentral:rRNA from 1 species